GAUCCUGGCUUAGGAUGAACGCUAGCUACAGGCUUAACACAUGCAAGUCGAGGGGCAGCAUGAAGGAGCUGCUCCUUGAUGGCGACCGGCGCACGGGUGAGUAACGCGUAUCCAACCUUCCCCUUAGUAGGGCAUAGCCCGUAGAAAUGCGGAUUAAUACCCUAUGUUCUUCGUUGAGGACAUCUGAGAUGGAGCAAAGCUUUUGCGCUAAGGGGAUGGGGAUGCGUCCGAUUAGGUAGUAGGCGGGGUAACGGCCCACCUAGCCGUCGAUCGGUAGGGGUUCUGAGAGGAAGGUCCCCCACACUGGAACUGAGACACGGUCCAGACUCCUACGGGAGGCAGCAGUGAGGAAUAUUGGUCAAUGGGCGUAGGCCUGAACCAGCCAAGUAGCGUGGAAGGACGACGGCCCUACGGGUUGUAAACUCCUUUUAUGCGGGGAUAAAGUGCAGCACGUGUGCUGUUUUGCAGGUACCGCAUGAAUAAGGACCGGCUAAUUCCGUGCCAGCCGCAGC
rnacentral:rRNA from 1 species